UAGCACACAGGGGAUCUUUGUUUUGUUCCUUAUUCUGGGGACAAUUCACCAGACUAAAAGCUCUUGAAAACUGUUCAUUGUGUUUUGCUGGUAACAGCUUCAUGGAGUUACUUUUGCCUCUCGGUUUCUUAAUCUGGUGUGUUUCCCCCCACAUCACCCUGCUCCCGGCCAUACUUAGCAAGAAGCCACUUCAAGAGCCUCCCACAGCAGAGUUUAUUGUCUAAGAGAUGGGAACACUUCACAUAUCUGGGACUUAUAUGCUCUCUAAAUGUUCAUUAACAGUGAAUGGAUGGCUGCGAGGUGAGUCCUUUCCUGUUUCUGAAUCGCUGCUCAGAGUUAAAUCGUCAGCCUCUGUGUUAUAGUCCAGUGAUAUCAAGUAACAUUGCCAAAAAAGUUGAAUUGUGUGUUAUUCCACACAAAGACAGAAUAAUUCUCCUUCAAAACAGAGUGCUCUGUACAAACUCAGUCUCAUGUGCUAUUUAUAGCUGGACGACACAAAUACACAAAUCCAUAGAUUUACAUAUUUCUUGAUAAUUGUAAUGAAAGCUAUCUAUAAAGUUGUAUCUGAUAAUAUCUGUUAAUAAAGAUUACUGUGUCUGUGUGUUUGCAUAUAUUAUUGAAUAUGUUUAGCUGGAACUGCGUGUUCUAGGAAGUCCAGCUGCUAUGAAAAUACAUGUGUUCAGGCAUGAACGAAACUGAACCAAGAAUCAAAAUAAUUCAGGUGGGAAGAGACCUUCAGUGCUGAAGCAAUGAGCUCCUGACAGUGUGAUACAGACACUGCUCUGAAAAAAUUUUUGAGGGCAGUCCUCUUCAGAGCCUGGGAGAGAGGGAGGAAGGGGGGACAGACAGCCAUCAAGUCCAUAUUCCGUGCCCUUGGCUGAUAUGGAGCUACUGCCAACUGUGGCUGAGAAACGUAAUCAAGUCAGCAAUUAGUGAAGUUCAAAGCCAUACUAAUUUUCUUCAAGCACCCCUUCCAAAGUCUGAAUUCUCAAUGUCACAGUGACAUGCAGGCUGUUUCUGCCUCAAUAAAGAAGAGCAUUGAAGAGGUCACCUUCUGCACAAAUCUUGAGCAUCACUGAGUUUGGAGGACACACGAAACGAGGCUGUGGACCUUGUAUCAAAUGGGGAAGUAUCCCAAACUUCCUCUUUUCAGAUGAUACAAAGUAAAAUGUGAUGCUUGACUUCCUGUUUCCCUGUUUUAGUUAUCAGGAAGUUACAGCUCUGUCAGAUACCCCAAAAAAGCAGAGGACAGUUAUGUCAUUUUAUAAUAUGUAGUGGUGUAACAUUUUACAUGCACAGCAUGUGCGUUUUUUCUCCUGUGCUAAAUUAUUCAUCAUCCCUAUGGAGUGGUUUUAAGUCAGUGUUCUUUCUGUGAGCCUUGGCUCUAAGAGAUUAAUCUUCCAUAUCGCUGUGAAAUGUUUCAUUCACAUGUUCAAAUCUUCCCUUGGCAAUUUUUCUUUCUGUGAAUAAAUAGCAUUCUGACCCAGCUUCUUCCUCAGUAAUGACAGAAAGACGAUCAGACCUUUGCAAACAUGAGUAGAAGCUACAUUGAUCUUCUACAUCAGCCAUCAGCGUGGGUCAACAGCCAUACACUGUGUCCUAGAUUUUGACCAUGUGACGAUUCAAUAAAAGAGUUUCUCCCAAUAUGGAAAAUGUAACUCAUUAUCUAUUUUUAACACAGCUAAUUAGGAUAUCAAAAGCAACCUCUACUCCCACUUAUUAUCAGCCUGCCUUCCUCUAGAGUCUGUCAGGCUUCAGACUAGUUUUUAGUGUGAAAAAGCACAUUUUUUUCUUAUCAGUACCACUUUCUCUCAUUGUGAGAGGUAAGUGUAUGAGACGUAAGGGUACUGUCAGUGCGUCUCAGAAGACCACGGGGUAGGAACUGAAGGCAAGAAUCAGGGCUUGGGCAAGGUCAAGAGUGGUCCAAAGCGAGAAGUCAAACUUUGGGAGGAAGCUCAAAUCAAGAGAUAAGAACAUUGCUUUGCAAAGGAGCAAGUUAAGAACUGCCCCUAAGUCUGUUUCUCUGAAAAGCUAGUCACACGGAUGGUGUCCCUCCUGGGCCUGAAAUCUGUCCAAGAGAAAAUCCUUUAAAGUAAUUUUCAAAGUUUACAGGUCUUGCUUAAAUCCUUUUCUUAGUUCUAAAACUUUUUUUUUUAUUAUUUAACAGAAGAUUUCAAAAUGUAUUGAUUAAUCUUUCCUACAGAGUGAUUCUCCAAAGAUAAAGUAGUUAGUAAUAAAGACAUUGGUGACAAUGUGUUUCAAAUUCUAUCUGUUCACUUUAGCUGUGAUUUUAGCUGUGAUUUAGCUGUGGGUUAUACCGUUCAGUAACAUAGCACUUUUCAAAGUCAUACCUGUGGUCAGUGAAUGAUAAUUCAUUCGUUUGCUUUGGCUUUCUGUCACUGUACCAAUGUAAGCUGUGCUUAACCACUAUUAACACUUUAAUUUAGAUUAAAAUAAAUGGUAUAGUUCGCUUUAACAGA